GUGGGGAAUUUUGGACAAUGGGCGCAAGCCUGAUCCAGCAAUGCCGCGUGCAGGAAGAAGGCCUUCGGGUUGUAAACUGCUUUUGUACGGAACGAAACGGUCCUGGCUAAUAUCCGGGGCUAAUGACGGUACCGUAAGAAUAAGCACCGGCUAACUACGUGCCAGCAGCCGCGGUAAUACGUAGGGUGCAAGCGUUAAUCGGAAUUACUGGGCGUAAAGCGUGCGCAGGCGGUUUUGUAAGACAGGCGUGAAAUCCCCGGGCUCAACCUGGGAAUUGCGCUUGUGACUGCAAGGCUGGAGUGCGGCAGAGGGGGAUGGAAUUCCGCGUGUAGCAGUGAAAUGCGUAGAUAUGCGGAGGAACACCGAUGGCGAAGGCAAUCCCCUGGGCCUGCACUGACGCUCAUGCACGAAAGCGUGGGGAGCAAACAGGAUUAGAUACCCCAGUAGUCC
rnacentral:rRNA from 1 species